GACCGACUGGCCUAGUGGUUAUGGCGUCUGUCUUACAUAAACAGAUCUAAUGUGAUGUGUAAGUUACACAGAAGGUCGCAGGUUCGACCCCUGCGUCGGUCA